rnacentral:lncRNA from 1 species
CGAUGACGUUGCUUGAAGUUCCGGUCGUUGGCGCGUAAAUAACAAGAAACCCUUUAAGUAUUUUUACAGUAAGUUUUUGUCGCGUGUUACGCUGCAAAAUGCAACACUGGCAAGACAGCGAGGUGAGAGAGCUUCUCCUGAUUCGUGGGAGAGAUGAAAUAAGGACACAGAUAACUGGCACCGUGAGAGACACAGCGAUAUACAACAACAUCUCCAAAAUGCUGCGUGAAAGAGGCAUUGUUCGUACCCCGAGGCAAAUAAUAAACAAACUCAAAGCGCUGAAGAAAAAAUAUCUUGCCAUUAACGACCAGAAAAGCCGCAGUGGGGUGGGUCAUGUCAACUGGCCGUUUUACGACCUUUGCCAUCACAUAUAUGGGAACUCCGCAUUAGACAACCCCGUGAAGCUGUCCGGUUCUUUAGCAACAUGCUCAUCAGCGGCGCUCUCGCCAUCUUCAUGUUCGCCCAGUACGUCUGUGGAGGAAGACUGUGAAAUAGAACGGGACGCCGAGGGCGAAACGAGGGCAGAGGUCACGGCUCUGGAUGCAGAUGAAACCACUGAGGUCCUAAUCGAGUCAGGACCGGUAGAGGAAGAAGAACUGGAGCCAGCCAGGGCCAACCCUCUACUCUCAUGUGGUUACAGCGGUCCGACCAAAAGACGAAAGAGAACGGUGAUGGAUCACGCUACUACUGUAAUAGCUAACGCCAUGGCAGAGCUGAAGGAGAUGGACAGAGUGGCAGCGGAACGCGACGAGGCACGCAUGCAGAUGUUCAUGGAGCAUGAGAGGACUCUCUGGGAGAGGCAGGAGAGGAUAAUGAGGGAAGAACGGGAAUACCAGAGAUCACUUUUUGAACUGCUGCUUUCCAGGCUCCCAGGCACUGCACCACAGUGACCACCAGAUACCACCAACUAGUACACACAAAUCCGUUAUGAGCAAAGCUGUUUUUAUCAGCUUAUUCAAGCACUUCCAACAUAAGCCAAUGAGCAGCCACAAAUUGGUUGGUGUUGACUUUCAAGAGACUUAACUAUAUAUACAGUAUAUAUAUAAAUAUUUCCCUUCUGUUGUUUCCUAACCCUGUUUUUAGUUGACAUUGAAUGUGACACACCAGGGAAGACAAAAACAAAAACAAAGUCUGCUGGCAGUGGUGAAGGAGACACCUGAUUUUAUUAGAUUUCCCUAUGUAUAAAAAAACCUGCAUAUACAUGCUGAUUUUGUGUAACGUGGGUAUUAGUUAUCCGCAGUGUUGUAAUAUAGAAAAAUGGCUCCUAAUAAUAGUGUUUCUUCUUAACAAUACAGUCAGUAUUCUGUGGGUUUUAUGCUUUAUUACAGAGCCACUUUCUAUUUUUUUUGUAAUGUAACCUGUAACAUAAACUAUAUUAUUAUGGGCUGGGCAGCGACAAGUGUGUUAUGUAAUGGUUGUCUGAUAAAUAAAACCAACCAAAAAUAAAUAAUAAUGAAUAUU